rnacentral:rRNA from 1 species
AUGUGGGUAUCUGCCCUUUGGCCUGGAAUAACACGAGGAAACUUGUGCUAAUACCGGAUAAGUCUUUACGGAGAAAGCUUUAUGCACCAUUGGAUGAGCCCGCACUUGAUUAGUUUGUUGGUGGGGUAAUGGCCUACCAAGACUGUGAUCAAUAGCUGAUUUGAGAGGAUGAUCAGCCACAUUGGGACUGAGACACGGCCCAAACUCCUACGGGAGGCAGCAGUGGGGAAUCUUGCACAAUGGAGGAAACUCUGAUGCAGCGAUGCCGCGUGAGUGAAGAAGGCCUUUGGGUUGUAAAGCUCUUUCGUCGGGGAAGAAAAUGACUGUACCCGAAUAAG